rnacentral:ncRNA from 1 species
GCUUAUCAAGAGUGGUGGAGGGACUGGCCCUGUGAAACCCGGCAACCAGAUCGUAAUGAUCAUGGUGCUAAUUCCAACAGACGAAAUCGUCUGGGAGAUGAG